rnacentral:lncRNA from 1 species
CGCGCCGAGGGGCGGGGGAUUGCGGAGGAGGAGGCUCUCACUGUUAGUCCUUCACCCCAGCUCCGGGAGGAGGUUUUGGCUAGAGUCCCUUUCCGAGUGGCCAGGUGGGGUUACUUUUGGCUGAGUUCAUCCUUGUAGCCUCUCCGGUUGCUGUGCACCCACGACAAUCGCCGUAAGACCCAUGUCAUGUGACCACCCCAUCUGCAGAGGAGUCAGAAGUACUAAGUAUUUUAAGCUGGAAAAAUGUCAGAGUUGUUACCAAAAGAGAAGAGGAAUCCAGAUACUUGUUGGAGAAACUGAGGCACAGGAACUCUUCCUGAGUUGAAGAGCUGAUAGAUGGAGAAAUCCUGUUUGGAGCCUCCAGAGCCUUCUCUUGAAAGAAGGAAAUCACAGAGGAGAUGGUGAUUUGAUUAUCCAAAU